GGCGCUAUAGUUUAAUAAUUAAAGCGUUAAGGUUUUAUAUUAGAUUAUUAUAUAAUAUUUUUAAAUUAUACUUAAUAAUAUACUCCCUAAAUUAUCCUUAAUAACUAUCCUUAAAAGUCGCGGGUUCAAAUCCCGUCGGCGCUA